rnacentral:rRNA from 1 species
UACGUAGGGCGCAAGCGUUAUCCGGAAUUAUUGGGCGUAAAGAGCUCGUAGGCGGUUUGUCGCGUCUGCCGUGAAAGUCCGGGGCUCAACUCCGGAUCUGCGGUGGGUACGGGCAGGCUCGAGUUCGGUAGGGGAGACUGGAAUUCCUGGUGUAGCGGUGAAAUGCGCAGAUAUCAGGAGGAACACCGAUGGCGAAGGCAGGUCUCUGGGCAUUAACUGACGCUGAGGAGCGAAAGCAUGGGGGAGCGAACAGG